rnacentral:rRNA from 1 species
UACGUAGGGGGCAAGCGUUAAUCGGAAUUACUGGGCGUAAAGCGUGCGCAGGCGGUUGUGCAAGACAGAUGUGAAAUCCCCGGGCUUAACCUGGGAAUUGCGAUGGAGACUGCAAGGCUAGAAUCUGGCAGAGGGGGGUAGAAUUCCACGUGUAGCAGUGAAAUGCGUAGAGAUGUGGAGGAACACCGAUGGCGAAGGCAGCCCCCUGGGUCAAGAUUGACGCUCAUGCACGAAAGCGUGGGGAGCAAACAGG